AUACGUAGGAUGACACAGGAAACCAAGUCAUUGCAAAUAUGGCUAUCAAGAUAUUUUUAAAACCACUUUUAUUUUAUUUUUGAGAUGGAGUCUCGCUCUGUCGCCCAGGCUGGAGUGCAGUGGUGUGGUCUCGGCUCACUACAACCUCCGCCUCCCAGGUUCAAGCAGUUUUCUUACCUCAGCCUCCCAAGUAGCUGGAAUUACAGGCACCUGCCACCACACCUGGCUAAUUUUUAAAAUUUUUAGUAGAGACUGAGCCCCGCCUAAAAAAACACACACAUUUAAAAACCACAUUUGUGGCAGGGUACGGCGGCUUACACCUGUAAUCCCAGCAUUUUGGAAGGCCAAGGCAGCUAGAUCACCUGAGGUCAGGAGUUCCAGACCAGCCUGGCUAACGUGGUGAAACCCAUCUCUACUAAAAAUACAAAAAUUAAUGGGGCAUGAUGGCAUAUACCUGUAAUCCCAGCUACUCAGGAGGCUGAGGCAGGAGAAUCGCUUGAACUCAAGAGGCAGAGGGUGCAGUGAGCCGAGAUCACACCACUGCACUCCGGCCUGGACCACAGAGUGAGACUCCAUCAUCUAAAAAAAAAAAAGAAGAAGAAAAGAAAAAAAAUCACAUUUGUGAUGUGAUAAUAAAUGUCUCUUUACUACGCAUUAACAAGAUGCAGCAGCGGGUCUGUAAUGAAGGAGCGAUGAGUGAGAUUUGAGAAAUCUGCACCAGCUUUGAUGUGCUCCGAAGGUAGCCAUGAUUUCUGUUGGUAACUGUGCCGCAGGUACUGCUGACGCCUGGGCUUGCUGGGUAUGAUCAUCGUGGAAGGAGACACUAAACUGUAGUUAGAGAAAACGGAGAUGGAAUUUUUUUUCUCCCCAUCCAAGUUCAUGAAUGUCCUGAAUUCUACUCAGGGCAUAUGCCAGGAGGUCUUGGAGCCCAGCGGUCACAAGCUCAGACUGGACUCCGGCUGCCCUGAGUACCAAGUCUCAGCUCUGCAGAGUUGUCAUUUGUGUGACUUGGGUGAGUCCCUCCGCCUCUCCCGGCCUCAGUUUUCUCCUCUGUAAAAGGCAAAUAAUGGGAUGAGCUUACCU
rnacentral:lncRNA from 13 species